CAAACCAAUAAGCCGAAGCUUCCUCACGAAUGGAAGUGCGGGGGAUCUUUUUGUGGGUCACGCAUCCACUAAGGGGUGAAUCGCUCGAAGGAGCGUAGGGUUGUUUCCUCAAUCCGAAUCCGACAACUAACCUCGUAGGCCAAAAAAAGGAGACGA
rnacentral:sRNA from 2 species